UACGAAGGGGGCUAGCGUUGCUCGGAAUUACUGGGCGUAAAGGGCGCGUAGGCGGAUAGUUUAGUAAGAGGUGAAAGCCCGGAGCUCAACUCCGGAACUGCCUUUUAGACUGCAUCGCUUGAAUCCAGGAGAGGUGAGUGGAAUUCCGAAUGUAGAGGUGAAAUUCGUAGAUAUUCGGAAGAACACCAGUGGCGAAGGCGGCUCACUGGACUGGUAUUGACGCUGAGGUGCGAAAGCGUGGGGAGCAAACAGG
rnacentral:rRNA from 1 species